rnacentral:rRNA from 1 species
UAGGGAAUCUUCCGCAAUGGGCGAAAGCUUGCCGGAGCAACGCCGCGUGAGUGAUGAAGGUCUUCGGAUCGUAAAACUCUGUUAUUAGGGAAGAACAAAUGUGUAAGUAACUAUGCACGUCUUGACGGUACCUAAUCAGAAAACCACGGCUAACUACGUGCCAGCAGCCGCGGUAAUACGUAGGUGGCAAGCGUUAUCCGGAAUUAUUGGGCGUAAAGCGCGCGUAGGCGGUUUUUUAAGUCUGAUGUGAAAGCCCACGGCUCAACCGUGGAGGGUCAGUGGAAACUGGAAAACUUGAGUGCAGAAGAGGAAAGUGGAAUUCCAUGUGUAGCGGUGAAAUGCGCAGAGAUAUGGAGGAACACCAGUGGCGAAGGCGACUUUCUGGUCUGUAACUGACGCUGAUGUGCGAAAGCGUGGGGAUCAAACAGG